GAGGCAAAUCAUGCCUCUAAAAUCUACGAGAAUCCGUCUAUUCCGUUACCGUUUAUCACCAAAGUUAUGACUUCACUUUCAAUCUACGAGCAACAUAUUACCAAACAGUGAACCCGAGGAAGACAUCCAGAUGCUGUCCUCUCCAAAACGUCCAUACAGUACGUCUGAUGAAAUGGAAGACCCUGCUACUAUCAUUAGAGACUUCAAGAGGGAAAACAUCAGCGAGCAUUCUACAAUGACAGCUGUGGCAAGGAGGAAAAUUCUACACAGUGUCAUCACAGCUUUUAAAUCGGAGCUGUUUUGACUGGCACAAACGUCCACGGAUUGAAUUCCCUGGUGAGAUGGCUGAUGAUUGUGGCGGGCCUAAUAGAGAAUUCUUCAGGUCAGCAACCACCUUUCAUUUAUUUCAUUCACAGUCAGCGUGGAAUUAGGUACAAGCAAUUCCUUUUUCUGCAUAUUUCUGAGAAGAUUUGAUAUGUAAAGUAAAAAUGUAUUAAAAGAUAGGCCCAUUUUCUUUAUAUCUGGGACUCUGAGUGGCAGGGCUUGAAAUUGCUUUCUUUUCUGAUGCUUAAGAAUUAAUAAAUGAAUAACUUGUACCAUUAAUAAAUAAUCAUAACACUUUAACCACGGAGCUACCACUGCUCACAAUAGCUGGGUGGAUGCAGAUAUCCAAAGUUGCAGAUGUACGUCAUUCUCUCAGUUUUUGUAAGAAGUUGUCCUCCAACUUUAUUUAAAACCUUCUUGAUUUUGACAGUGGUGUUUAUUCAGGUAUUCUCUCCUAAACUGUGGGGCCAUUAUUUAUGAAGGAGAGACUAUUCUCCAUAUUCCUUCUGUUUGACAGAAGAUGACCCAAUUGCAUGUUUCCUUGUUUUCUAUCAUAUUAACAACUUUCCUCUUGUUUCUGUGAUUCUAUGUUCUAUUGUUCUGUUGUUUCUAUGUUCUUAGUCUUAUUUUAAAUAUAACUAAGCAGCAUGAAUCUUUUUAUGGAACAUACAAGUGUUUCAUAGACUGUACAAAAUGCUCAGAACAUUAAAACUGAGCCAGAGUAUUAAAAAUAGAUUCCUGGUUUGCGCGUGUC